GUGGAUACGGUUUAGGAUCAUUGUUAUAAUAGGCAAAAUUGAUGGUGAUCGUACAUAGUGGCUAGGAAGGGAUUUAAUGGCUACUGCUGCAGUUAUUGGACUCAGUGGAGGAAAGAGACUCUUGAGUUCAUCAUACCAUUACUUUGAUAUUAUAGAAAAGCUUUCUUAUGGCAGUGAUUUUGGAUCCACACACUACCAAAUUGGAUUUAAGUAUUAUGACUUUUUCACCGUAACCAUGAACAUAUUUCAUUUUAUGUUGAGUAUUGGCAAUUGUUCCUUAUGUUAUCGAAAGAGAGCUUGGAAUGGAAAUAAUUGAGGAACAUACGGUGAUGGAAUAUUCUAAGCAAGAAAUGUGAAAAAUGUGGCCAUGGGGAAGCUACCUAUUAUACUAGACAGAUGAGAUCAGCAGACAAAGGGCAAACUACUUUUUACACAUGUACCGGU